rnacentral:rRNA from 1 species
UAUCAGUCAUGCAUAGCAUAUCAAUAAGCGGAGGAAAAGAAACUAACAAGGAUUCCCUUAGUAACGGCGAGUGAAGCGGGAAGAGCUCAAAUUUGAAAUCUUCAAGGUUUUACCUUGACGAAUUGUAGUUUAAAGAAGUGUUUUCUGUUGAAGUUUUGGUAAAAGUUCUUUGGAAUAGGACAUCAUAGAGGGUGAGAAUCCCGUAUUUGACCAUUACUUUCAGCUUUGUGAUACACUUUCAAAGAGUCGGAUUGUUUGGGAAUGCAGUCCAAAAUGGGUGGUAAAUUUCAUCUAAAGCUAAAUAUUGGCGAGAGACCGAUAGCGAACAAGUACCGUGAGGGAAAGAUGAAAAGAACUUUGAAAAGAGGAGUUAAACAGUACGUGAAAUUGUCAAAAGGGAAGCGUUUCGACACCAGUGUUGUUUUCUCGAAAAUCAAUUAAAAAGAGUUGGAUUUUGUGUUGUAUUGACUUUAUCAGCUUUCUUCACUCUUUUCCAGCUUUUUUUAAUGCACUUUUCGUUUAACAAGUCAACAUCAGUUUCUUUUGUUGUAAAAAGGUCAUUGGAAGGUGGCUUUCUCUUCGGAGAAAGUGUUUAUAGCCUUUGACUCAUGCAAUCGGAGAGACUGAGGUCUGCAGCGUAGAUCCUUCGGGGUUAGAUACAUUUGUGCUAAGUUAUAGCUUUUCAUAGACAACUUGUUGACUAUGUUUAGUCUUGUAGCUUACUCGCUUAUGCUAUUUUACCUACGCUUAGGAUGUUGAACUCUAUCACACACAG